UGUAAUUGAACAUAUGGUGAAUAAUCCUCAUAAACAGCUAGAUAUUAUUAGCCCUGUUAUAUGGAUUCCCUGUUACAGGGAAAGGGAAGCAAGAAUUGAUAUGAGGGUUUUUGCGAGGUCACACUACGAAUACAUGUAGAUAAAUUACCUCUACAGAAACAGAUAUACUUCUCCGGGUAAAAUUCAAUGGCUGUCUGACCAUGAGCAAAAACAUAAGGCAGAUGAGAACCUCGACCAGUCAAUCCCCAGGCUGUGCUUUACAUAAGGUAAGCAGAUGGGCAGCAAUGGGCGAGAUCUGAAUUUCUCCAGAGAAAGCAUUCAAGAAAAACCAAAGAAGAUAAACUAGAAUAAAUUCUUGUGCUCAUGUGGAUAGUCUCAAAAGCAGCACCGGUAGUUACUGUUUCACCUUUCGCAAAGUCAUGGAAUUAAGAAUUACCGAAGCAGCCACCAGAGUGCACCAGAUACAUUUCAGAGCAACUCGCAAGAAAAGCAAACAACCUUAGAACUGUUACUCCCUUUUCUUGUGGUCUUCUUUUGUUUUUGUUAGGGGAAACGAAUCAGCUCUUUAAAUAUGUGUGUGGAAGGCAGUGAGGAAGAAGGUGAAGGUUCAGAAAGCUAGGAAGGCAUCACUUCUCUUACCUGUGCCCAUACCCUUGCAGGCGCUUCAGUGACAAUUGUGUCUUGCUUGCUAAAUUCCACCGUGUAUUGAACUGCUACCUGAUAAUAGUGGAUAUAUUUUUUCAUUUAAAAAAUCCUGUGAAAAUUUGAAUAUAGGUUACACAUUAGCUUACAGGGUCAGACCAUAAAAAAUUUUCCCCGUGUGCUGGCUAGCAAACAUGUUACCAGCCUUCUGUGUACAAAUCUGCCUUCUGAGUACAAAUCUGCUUUCUGUGUACACAUCUGUGACUUCAUCCCCACCUUUGCUAUUCAGGGAUGUGUAAGCUGAUCUGAAACACCUCCUACAUAUCAGUACAUUUUGAAACACUGACUACUCCACAUUGUGUAUGCCAUAUGGUGCACGUUGUAACUGAACAUUGCAUCUCCCAUAUUUGGAAGGGCAACAUAAAAGCAUUAAAGGUGAAGUUUAUCAGGCAGAUGUGCACAUCUGCGUGUGACCUACUCAUGUAGUCAGCCUUUCUAGUCAGUGGAAAUAAAUGGACAAUUCUGGCACAUGAUUUUUCUUUAUGUGCCAAAGUGGAGGUCCAACAUAGAGCAGGGGAUUUUGCCCUCUAAAAGUGCAUUUCUUUCACAGACUUUCAAUGGAAAGUAAAAUCAGUUGCAUAGCUCUAGACAUCAAGAGUUAAAUAACCUGUAAUCUACAUUUUUGUAUUAUUCCUAGCAUUGAUUAUUAACAGCUGCAGAACACUCUUCACGUAUGUCGUUCUUUAGGUAGUGGAGUGCAGCAAUACACGAAAUGUGAAGCUUCAUGAGGGUUCAAUUUCAUCUUUCAGUAUACAAACAACUUUCCAUUUCAUGUAUUUUCUGGCUGCUGGCUGGAACCCUGGAAACAUAAUUUGGACAAUGGAAGCGCUGCCAUUUUGUUUCAAUGUAAAUGAGGUCUUGCCUACCAAUUCAAAGCUAACACCAAGGCAGUGAGUCCCAUCUCAUCAGAGCCUGUGCCAAGGCAUAGAGGAAGCUUUGCCCACCAAAAAGGCCGACCCAACUCUGCGCUGCUCUGGCUGUCGCUGGUUGAUAGAGCAUGACCUUGGAGCUAAUGGCGAUUGGUUUAAGGCCCAGCAGCUCUGAGGCAGCUCAGUCAGCAGUGUCCUUGCUCGAUGUUAUCCCCUGUCGUGAUUUUUAUUCAAGAGCUUGUCAUUAAAAAAAAAUAAACUACUUUUUUUUGUAUAUGAAACAUUAAAGCACUCACCGAAUAAC